rnacentral:tRNA from 1 species
AAAAUUUUAGUUUAAUUAAAAUAAUUCAUUUACAUUGAAUAGAUUAAUUUUAUUAAAAUUUUA